CCGAGCUAGUGGCGAACGGGUGAGUAACGCGUGAGCAACCUGCCCUUCAGAGGGGGACAACAGUUAGAAAUGACUGCUAAUACCGCAUAAUGCAGCUGGAUCGCAUGGUCUGACUGCCAAAGAUUUAUCGCUGAGGGAUGGGCUCGCGUCUGAUUAGAUAGUUGGUGAGGUAACGGCCUACCAAGUCAACGAUCAGUAGCCGGUCUGAGAGGAUGAACGGCCACAUUGGGACUGAGAUACGGCCCAGACUCC
rnacentral:rRNA from 1 species